UACAGAGGGGGCAAGCGUUAUUCGGAAUUAUUGGGCGUAAAGGGCGCGUAGGCGGCAUGGCAAGUGGAUGGUGAAAUCCCUCGGCUUAACCGAGGAAUUGCCGUCCAAACUGCUUCGCUUGAGACCGGGAGAGGUGAGUGGAAUUCCCAGUGUAGCGGUGAAAUGCGUAGAUAUUGGGAGGAACACCAGUGGCGAAGGCGGCUCACUGGACCGGUACUGACGCUGAUGCGCGAAAGCGUGGGGAGCAAACGGG
rnacentral:rRNA from 1 species